rnacentral:tRNA from 1 species
UAAGAAUUUAAGUUAAAAAAACUUCUAACCUUCAAAGUUAAAAUUAAAUAAUAUUUAAUUCUU